GAGCGGAUGUUUUGUUCUUUUUUCCAUUAAUGAAGACUCCGAUUGGUUUUUUUUUUGGUCUGCUGAGUGCUGGAUCUGCGUCGAAUCAUCAGCGGUUUCAACCAGGUUUCCCGUCAGAGGCGUGGCGGAGUUGAAGGGGACGUUAAUCCUCCACUCUCAUCACCUGCUGGAGAAGUGCACAUACCUGGAGAGGAGCCUGAACCGCGCGCAGUAACAGUUCUUUACACACACACUACCCGGGUAGCACACACAUGUACACAAAUCAACUUUGACUGACCUGGAUGUGGAUUAAACUCUUUUGACUUGAUUCACUGAACUUUAAUACAAGAACAGCUAUACGCUGUGAGAGGACAAUUUCUGUUAUUGUUGUUUACUUUUUUUUCUAUUAUUGAAGGUUUUAAAGCAACAACUGUUUCCACGUUGUUUUGAUGUUGCUGGAAUAAAUUUUCUUUUGUUCAAUA